ACAUGCAAGUCGAACGAGAUCCCUUUUUCUACUUGCUAGAAAAAGAAGAUUGCAGUGGCGGACGGGUGAGGAACACGUAAGAACUUACCUUUUGGUGGGGGAUAACAGCGGGAAACUGCUGCUAACACCCCAUAAUGCUGAGGAGCUAAAAGUGAAAACUGCCAAGAGAGAGGCUUGCGUCUGAUUAGCUAGUUGGGAGGGUAAAGGCUUCCCAAGGCGACGAUCAGUAGCUGGUCUGAGAGGAUGAUCAGCCACACUGGGACUGAGACACGGCCCAGACUCCUACGGGAGGCAGCAGUGGGGAAUUUUCCACAAUGGGCGAAAGCCUGAUGGAGCAAUACCGCGUGGGUGAAGACGGUUCGUGGAUUGUAAAGCCCUUUUCUUAAGGAAGAUAAAUGACGGUACUUAAGGAAUAAGCACCGGCUAACUCUGUGCCAGCAGCCGCGGUAAUACAGGGGGUGCAAGCGUUGUCCGGAAUGAUUGGGCGUAAAGCAUCUGUAGGUGGUUCUUAAAGUCAACUGUUAAAUCCCAGGGCUCAACCUUGGAAAAGCAGUUGAGUACUUAAGGACUUGAGUGUGGUAGAGGCAGAGGGAAUUCCUAGUGGAGCGGUGAAAUGCACAGAGAUUAGGAAGAACACCAGAGGCGAAAGCGCUCUGCUGGGCCAUCCACUGACACUGAGAGAUGAAAGUUAGGGGAGCGAAAAGGAUUAGAUACCCUUGUAGUCCUAACCGUAAACGAUGGAUACUAAGUGCUGUCAAAAACAGUGCUAAAGCUAACGCGUUAAGUAUCCCGCCUGGGGAGUAUGCUCGCAAGAGUGAAACUCAAAGGAAUUGACGG
rnacentral:rRNA from 1 species